rnacentral:rRNA from 1 species
GCUAAUACCGGAUAUAGCGGCGCUCCGCAUGGAGCGCUGGCGAAAGAUUUAUCGCUUGGGGAUGGAUUCGCGUCCGAUUAGGCAGUUGGCGGGGUAACGGCCCACCAAACCUACGAUCGGUAGCCGGCCUUAGAGGGCGAACGGCCACAUUGGGACUGAGAUACGGCCCAGACUCCUACGGGAGGCAGCAGCAGGGAAUAUUGCGCAAUGGGGGCAACCCUGACGCAGCGACGCCACGUGUGGGAUGAAGCAUCUAGGUGUGUAAACCACUGUCGUGGGGGAAUAGCGGCGCUUUUCGGAGCGCUUGAAUGUACCCUGAGAGGAAGCACCGGCAAACUUCGUGCCAGCAGCCGCGGUAAUACGAGGGGUGCGAGCGUUGUUCGGAAUCACUGGGCGUAAAGGGAGCGUAGGUGGCUUUUCAAGCCGGGCGUGCAAUGCCGGGGCCCAACCCCGGAAUUGCGCCCGGUACUGGGAAGCUUGGAUUGUUCAUAGGCUGGCGGAAUUCCUGGUGGAGCGGUGGAAUGCGUAGAUAU